AAUCACUCCAAUUUGCAGUGAAAUGUGUGACAAAAAGGAACAGCUAUGCAGAACAUCAAGCCAUGUCAUUACUUCCAAACAGGACUCAGGAGGCUAACAUCAUCUGGUAUUGCCCUUUCUAGGGGCUCAAAGCUGUUGACUUCAAGAUGCAGAGGAGCAUUGAAGAGAUGAGAAAUAGUCCACUGUGGCCCUUCCAGAAACAUCUCAUUGGUUUGCCGGAAGUGUGUUACCAUAUUCCCUCAACAGUCACAUCCUGAAUGUCCCUGCCUUCCUCAGCCUCAUAGUAUGUCUUGCUUCAAGGCAAGCAGAACUAAGUUACCAACAGGCCUUGAUGCUAUAAGAGAGAGUAUUCCUUUAUUAACAAAGUGCGUUUGAGCCUUGCAAAUGUUUCUGCUGAAGUAAGACUGUGACUUACUUAAAAGAAUUUCAGACCAGUCCGGAUCCAAUCUGAGAAAAAGGAAAGCUUUGUCUAAUUUGAAAUUUAUUUGAUGGUCAAGAGAUUCCGUAGAAAAGGAAAGAAUAAAAGCCCUCCUUUCCACCAAGACGCAUUGUCCAGAAAUCUCCCACAGUCUAACUUCAAAAGAGUUUGAUGAAACACUAAAUGGAACAGGAACAUGCGGAGUUUGCUUAGAAUCUAGUGCACAUUUUCUGUACUUAUAUCUUUUUUCUCUGACUCAUCCUGUUAAGUGUUUUCUCAUCAACUGGCCAUUUAUGUUUGGUGGAGAAUAAAAUACUCUCAUUAAUUCAAAGACUCAUGUGGUUCUUAUUUUUUAAGAUAUCAAAGAAGGUCAGGAAAUAUACUUUAAAAAUAUUCCACUUCUUAGAAAAAGGUAUUAUUAUACUUCCUAAAAACUACCUCAGCUUUGCUCAAAUGGAGGGAGGAGACUUGAAUCAAACACAUUUGUUUUCUAAGCAGAAUGAUGAGAACAGCUACAGGCUAGGGUAUUUAAAUCGUUAAGUAUUUUAACAUCUAUUGAAAUUAAGGGGAUUGGUUUAGAUAUCUUUUGACAGAUGGCAUACAAUGGAAAAGCUAAAUGGCAUGCAUGUUUUCUAUUCACAUUUCUGAAAUGUGAAGAAUAAAACAACAUUGUCAUCUCCAAAGCAGUCCUUGCACUGCAAACCAAACAAGAAACUCUUCCAGGCAGAUGGCUUCUCUCACCUUAACUUAAAUACUUAACUUAAAUAGUGUUGUGGCUAAGUGACAAGCACUGCAAUGGGAAGGCUUAGCUGAAGUCAAGAAAUGAACCAUCACGAAGCAGCAACCAUCUGGGGAGAGUGCCUUCAGUUUGGGGUUGGUAGGCUUUGGCAUGCUUCCAAAAGAAUGAGAGCUCAAUUUAUAGCCGUUAUUUUAAACACCACUCAUGCAUCUCCAGUUUUACUCCAGACUGGUUUUGGGCGUAGUCAAGGGGAAGGGAUCACCUAGCCAGCUCUGCUCCUGCUGCCUGCCCAACCACCUGCCCUGCUGUGCCCACUCCAGCCAGCCGGUGCAAAACACGUGUGGGGGGAAGGAAGGACAAUCUUCCUCUUUAUCCAGACAGGAACAUAAAAGCCUCCACAGCCCCCCCAAAACCACACUGAUCUCCUUCAUGUCACAGACACAAAAUCCAAUUUUCUUCCUUUCCACUGAAGGAAAGAUAACAUGCUGUGUUCGUGUUUGUUAAAACAAUAAAACAAUUUUUACCAUUGGUCUUGACAGUCCCUGUAACAUUGCAAGCAUUGUGUGAAGUUCAUAACUGCUUCAGGAGAAGAUCUUAUAGCUAGCAGAAUCCUUAAUUCAUUGCUCAGCUUGCACCAAAACCCAGUAAUAGUUGCUCUCCCUAACUCUGGUGUUAAUGCAGUCACAGCCCUAAGGAGAUGAACUAUUUCACCAUUCAAAUGCAACUUGGAUUAAAACAACAGGAAACCUUGGUUUCCUUUUUUCAGUUCAGUGUAUAUUUAAAUACGAGCUCCCACCUUGUCUGAGGCUUUGCUUUGUUCAGUGAAGUUUAGUCCAAGGUGAAUUUCUGUACUUUUCAAA